GCCUCUGUGGUGUAGUGGUCUAGCACGUGCCCCCGGAUAGGAUGAAGCGCGGGUUCGAUUCCUGUUUGAGGGU